CCUACGGGUGGCAGCAGUGGGGAAUAUUGGACAAUGGGGGCAACCCUGAUCCAGCCAUGCCGCGUGAGUGAUGAAGGCCUUCGGGUUGUAAAGCUCUUUUGGCGGGGACGAUGAUGACGGUACCCGCAGAAUAAGCCCCGGCUAACUUCGUGCCAGCAGCCGCGGUAAGACGAAGGGGGCUAGCGUUGUUCGGAAUUACUGGGCGUAAAGCGAGUGUAGGCGGUUGCCAUAGUCAGGUGUGAAAGCCUUGAGCUCAACUCAAGAAAUGCACUUGAUACUGGGCGACUAGAGGACCGGAGAGGAUAGUGGAAUUCCCAGUGUAGUGGUGAAAUACGUAGAGAUUGGGAAGAACACCAGUGGCGAAGGCGGCUAUCUGGACGGUUACUGACGCUAAGACUCGAAAGCGUGGGGAGCAAACAGGAUUAGAUACCCGAGUAGUC
rnacentral:rRNA from 1 species